CCAUUGUUGUGCUGCCAUGGAUAUGGCCAGGAAAUAUAUAUAUACAUACAUACACACGUGUAUUAUAUGUGUGUGCAGAUAUAUACAUAAAUAUAUACACACACACACACACUUAUUUAUUUUUAGCAGCCUGGGGGACUGUCUGACAGCUCAGAUAGUCCCCCAGCUAGCAGCUCCUAGACUCCUAUUGCGGCGAUGUGAUCAUGGUGAUUACAUGACCCUGGUAGGCCGGAGCUGCAGCAGGGGGACUGUUGGGGUCUCCGGCAGUUCCCCAGCGAUCCGUGUUCACCAUGUUUACAUUUAUUUACUAUAUUAUUAUUUAUUUUUUUACUUUUACCAAACUUUUUUUACUUUUUUUUCCACUGGCAGCACUGUGGACACCUAUGGCGGCCAUGUGACCGCCCUAAAUUGGAGAGAGGGGACUGUCUGGGCUGCUGUGAUUAAGAGAAGCCACUAUUGCUUUAGGACUUUUUUGUUGGUUUUAUUCACUGCAUGAUCAUUUAUUGUACUUAACAUUGGCCCUGAG